UACAGAGGUCCCAAGCGUUGUUCGGAUUCACUGGGCGUAAAGGGUGCGUAGGUGGUUGGGCAAGUCUGAUGUGAAAUCUCCGGGCUUAACCCGGAAAUGGCAUUGGAAACUGCCCGGCUAGAGUGUUGGAGGGGGGACUGGAAUUCUCGGUGUAGCAGUGAAAUGCGUAGAUAUCGAGAGGAACACCAGUGGCGAAGGCGAGUCCCUGGACAGAAACUGACGCUGAGGCGCGAAAGCUAGGGGAGCAAACAGG
rnacentral:rRNA from 1 species